CCCCCCCUCCCCCCACCACCACACAGUCAUUAUGCCGAAGAGAAAGUCUCCAGAGAAUGCAGAGGGCAAAGAUGGACCCAAAGUAACCAAACGGGAGCCCACAAGGCGGUCUGUCAGGCUAUCUGCAAAACCUGCUCCGCCACCCAAACCUGAGCCUAAACCAAGGAAAACAUCUGCUAAGAAAGAACCUGGAGCAAAGAUUAGCAGAGGAGCCAAAGGGAAGAAGGAGGAGAAGCAGGAAGUUGGAAAGGAAACCGCUGCCCCAUCUGAAAAUGGUGAAACCAAACUAAAGAGGCACAGAAAACUGAAUCUAUAGAUAACGAAGGAGAAUAAAUUGCCAUGGAAAAUUGGGGGUGAUUUUAUUUACCUCUUGGGACAACUUUUAAAAGCUAUUUUUACCAAGUAUUUUGUAAAAGCUAAUUUUUUUAGGACUCUACUAGUUGGCAUAUAGUAUAUAUAAAGAUGGAUAUUUGACCCUCUUGUAAUCAUGCUUUUUUGGAAAUUUUCAUCAUUCUCAAGUAAAAUAAAUACCUUUCUAAUAAUUGGAAA